ACGAUAUGCUUUGGGGAGCUGUAAGUAAGCUUUGAUCCAGAGAUUUCCGAAUGGGGAAACCCAGCAUGAGUUAUGUCAUGUUAUCGAUAUGUGAAUACAUAGCAUAUCAGAAGGCACACCCGGAGAACUGAAACAUCUUAGUACCCGGAGGAAGAGAAAGAAAAUUCGAUUCCCUUAGUAGCGGCGAGCGAAACGGGAAGAGCCCAAACCAACAAGCUUGCUUGUUGGGGUUGUAGGACACUCUAUACGGAGUUACAAAGGACGACAUUAGACGAAUCAUCUGGAAAGAUGAAUCAAAGAAGGUAAUAAUCCUGUAGUCGAAAAUGUUGUCUCUCUUGAGUGGAUCCUGAGUACGACGGAGCACGUGAAAUUCCGUCGGAAUCUGGGAGGACCAUCUCCUAAGGCUAAAUACUCUCUAGUGACCGAUAGUGAACCAGUACCGUGAGGGAAAGGUGAAAAGCACCCCGGAAGGGGAGUGAAAUAGAACCUGAAACCGUGUGCUUACAAGUAGUCAGAGCCCGUUAAUGGGUGAUGGCGUGCCUUUUGUAGAAUGAACCGGCGAGUUACGAUUUGAUGCAAGGUUAAGCAGUAAAUGUGGAGCCGUAGCGAAAGCGAGUCUGAAUAGGGCGUUUAGUAUUUGGUCGUAGACCCGAAACCAGGUGAUCUACCCUUGGUCAGGUUGAAGUUCAGGUAACACUGAAUGGAGGACCGAACCGACUUACGUUGAAAAGUGAGCGGAUGAACUGAGGGUAGCGGAGAAAUUCCAAUCGAACCUGGAGAUAGCUGGUUCUCUCCGAAAUAGCUUUAGGGCUAGCCUCAAGUGAUGAUUAUUGGAGGUAGAGCACUGUUUGGACGAGGGGCCCCUCUCGGGUUACCGAAUUCAGACAAACUCCGAAUGCCAAUUAAUUUAACUUGGGAGUCAGAACAUGGGUGAUAAGGUCCGUGUUCGAAAGGGAAACAGCCCAGACCACCAGCUAAGGUCCCAAAAUAUAUGUUAAGUGGAAAAGGAUGUGGCGUUGCCCAGACAACUAGGAUGUUGGCUUAGAAGCAGCCAUCAUUUAAAGAGUGCGUAAUAGCUCACUAGUCGAGUGACACUGCGCCGAAAAUGUACCGGGGCUAAACAUAUUACCGAAGCUGUGGAUUGUCCUUUGGACAAUGGUAGGAGAGCGUUCUAAGGGCGUUGAAGCAUGAUCGUAAGGACAUGUGGAGCGCUUAGAAGUGAGAAUGCCGGUGUGAGUAGCGAAAGACGGGUGAGAAUCCCGUCCACCGAUUGACUAAGGUUUCCAGAGGAAGGCUCGUCCGCUCUGGGUUAGUCGGGUCCUAAGCUGAGGCCGACAGGCGUAGGCGAUGGAUAACAGGUUGAUAUUCCUGUACCACCUAUAAUCGUUUUAAUCGAUGGGGGGACGCAGUAGGAUAGGCGAAGCGUGCGAUUGGAUUGCACGUCUAAGCAGUAAGGCUGAGUAUUAGGCAAAUCCGGUACUCGUUAAGGCUGAGCUGUGAUGGGGAGAAGACAUUGUGUCUUCGAGUCGUUGAUUUCACACUGCCGAGAAAAGCCUCUAGAUAGAAAAUAGGUGCCCGUACCGCAAACCGACACAGGUAGUCAAGAUGAGAAUUCUAAGGUGAGCGAGCGAACUCUCGUUAAGGAACUCGGCAAAAUGACCCCGUAACUUCGGGAGAAGGGGUGCUCUUUAGGGUUAACGCCCAGAAGAGCCGCAGUGAAUAGGCCCAAGCGACUGUUUAUCAAAAACACAGGUCUCUGCUAAACCGUAAGGUGAUGUAUAGGGGCUGACGCCUGCCCGGUGCUGGAAGGUUAAGAGGAGUGGUUAGCUUCUGCGAAGCUACGAAUCGAAGCCCCAGUAAACGGCGGCCGUAACUAUAACGGUCCUAAGGUAGCGAAAUUCCUUGUCGGGUAAGUUCCGACCCGCACGAAAGGCGUAACGAUUUGGGCACUGUCUCAACGAGAGACUCGGUGAAAUCAUAGUACCUGUGAAGAUGCAGGUUACCCGCGACAGGACGGAAAGACCCCGUGGAGCUUUACUGUAGCCUGAUAUUGAAAUUCGGCACAGCUUGUACAGGAUAGGUAGGAGCCUUUGAAACGUGAGCGCUAGCUUACGUGGAGGCGCUGGUGGGAUACUACCCUAGCUGUGUUGGCUUUCUAACCCGCACCACUUAUCGUGGUGGGAGACAGUGUCAGGCGGGCAGUUUGACUGGGGCGGUCGCCUCCUAAAAGGUAACGGAGGCGCUCAAAGGUUUCCUCAGAAUGGUUGGAAAUCAUUCAUAGAGUGUAAAGGCAUAAGGGAGCUUGACUGCGAGACCUACAAGUCGAGCAGGGUCGAAAGACGGACUUAGUGAUCCGGUGGUUCCGCAUGGAAGGGCCAUCGCUCAACGGAUAAAAGCUACCCCGGGGAUAACAGGCUUAUCUCCCCCAAGAGUUCACAUCGACGGGGAGGUUUGGCACCUCGAUGUCGGCUCAUCGCAUCCUGGGGCUGUAGUCGGUCCCAAGGGUUGGGCUGUUCGCCCAUUAAAGCGGUACGCGAGCUGGGUUCAGAACGUCGUGAGACAGUUCGGUCCCUAUCCGUCGUGGGCGUAGGAAAUUUGAGAGGAGCUGUCCUUAGUACGAGAGGACCGGGAUGGACAUACCUCUGGUGUACCAGUUGUCGUGCCAACGGCAUAGCUGGGUAGCUAUGUGUGGACGGGAUAAGUGCUGAAAGCAUCUAAGCAUGAAGCCCCCCUCAAGAUGAGAUUUCCCAACUUCGGUUAUAAGAUCCCUCAAAGAUGAUGAGGUUAAUAGGUUCGAGGUGGAAGCAUGGUGACAUGUGGAGCUGACGAAUACUAAUCGAUCGAAGACUUAAUCAAAUU
rnacentral:rRNA from 1 species